rnacentral:rRNA from 1 species
UACGGGGGGGGGCAAGCGUUGUUCGGAAUUACUGGGCGUAAAGGGCUCGUAGGUGGCCAACUAAGUCAGACGUGAAAUCCCUCGGCUUAACCGGGGAACUGCGUCUGAUACUGGAUGGCUUGAGUUCGGGAGAGGGAUGCGGAAUUCCAGGUGUAGCGGUGAAAUGCGUAGAUAUCUGGAGGAACACCGGUGGCGAAGGCGGCAUCCUGGACCGAUACUGACACUGAGGAGCGAAAGCCGAGGGGAGCAAGCGGG